UACAGAGGUGGCGAGCGUUGUUCGGAAUUACUGGGCGUAAAGGGCGCGUAGGCGGUUCGAUAAGUCCCGUGUGAAAGCCCCCGGCUCAACUGGGGAACUGCACGGGAAACUGACGGACUUGAGUUCGGGAGAGGGAAGCGGAAUUCCGGGUGUAGCGGUGGAAUGCGUAGAGAUCCGGAAGAACACCGGUGGCGAAGGCGGCCUGCUGGGCAGUGGCUGACACUGAGGCGCGACAGCGUGGGGAGCAAACAGG
rnacentral:rRNA from 1 species